rnacentral:rRNA from 1 species
CAAAAGAGUGGAAAGAGCUUCGAGUAGAGGUGACAAAUCUACCGAGCGCAGUUAUAGCUGGUUGCCUGAGAAAUGAAUAGAAGUUCAGCCCUUUAAGCCUAUUCCCUCAUCCCAUAAAGUAAUUUCUUGAAAAAGAUUAAUAAAGACAAAGGAAGCUAAAGGAGUUAAUCAAAAGGGGUACAGCCCUUUUGAUAGAAGAAACAACUUUAAUAGGUGACCUAAGACCAUAACUACCCAAGGAUUUCAAUUUUAGUGGGCCCAAGAGCAGCCAUCUAAUAUAAAAGCGUUAAAGCUUAAAUUAAUUUUAUCCUCAUAUUCUGAUAUGACCCCUCCCAUCCCCUAUUUACCUACCAGGCUGUCUUACGUCCCCGUAAGAGUAAUAAUGCUAAAAUGAGUAAUAAGAAGAAUUUAAUUCUUCUCCUGGCAUAUGUGUAUGUUGGAACGGACCCCCCACCAACAACUAAACGACCCCAAACCCAGAGGGACAUAAACUUUGUUACAAGAAAAACACUUAUUCUUAAUCGUUAACCCCACACAGGAGUGCCCCAAGGAAAGACUAAAAGAGAGAGAAGGAACUCGGCAAACACAAGCCUCGCCUGUUUACCAAAAACAUCGCCUCUUGCCCUACUAAAUAUAAGAGGUCCCGCCUGCCCAGUGACACACAAGUUUAACGGCCGCGGUAUUUUAACCGUGCGAAGGUAGCGUAAUCACUUGUCUUUUAAAUGAAGACCGGUAUGAAUGGCAUCACGAGGGCUUAACUGUCUCCUCCCUCCAGUCAAUGAAAUUGACCUUCCCGUGCAGAGGCGGGAAUAUUUAUAUAAGACGAGAAGACCCUGUGGAGCUUUAGACUUAAAAUAAGUUAUGUCCAACAUACUAUAAUACAAGAAAAAACUUAAUAACUAAAUAUUGAAAUGUCUUUUGUUGGGGCGACCGAGGGGAAAAACACAACCCCCUUGUAGACUGGGGAUAUUAUCCCUAACACUCAGAGUUCCCACUCCAAGUAACAGAAAUUCUGACUUCCUGAUCCGGAAUAUUCCGAUCAACGAACCGAGUUACCCCAGGGAUAACAGCGCAAUCCCCUUUAAGAGCCCUUAUCGACAAGGGGGUUU